AAAAUAACUGUAAUUGCCAGUAGACAAACCUGGUUUUUAAAUAGCCUCGUUUCCCAAAACUAGCCAAUACUCUUUAAAGGGAAGUCAUCAGUAAGGAUAGUACCUGUUAAAAUAAACAAGCUUUUUAAUUUAGUUUCCUGAGGUAUUUAAUGAGUGAUUUUAAUCUUUCCCUCCACAACACUUACGGGAAAGACCUAAUUUAGACCGGAUUUCUUAUUGUAAUGGCUCAUUCAAAAUGUGAGGGGAUGGGAUGAGGGGAGAAAAAGCAGGUAUUUUAUGUUGAAACACCAACAGAACAACCAGCCAACAGAACUAAGUGUUGAAUCCUGCUUCUUCUCAGCAUGUACCUACUGAAUUUUAAGACCAGAACUCUUUUGGAAUUAUGGAAAUCCCAAUGCUAAUUUUGCUGAUUUCACCUGAGAAAAACAUCCUUCAUUAUUUCCCAUCUGUAAUUCUGAAAGAGGAAUUUAAUUAUACUGUGUGGGGUUACCUGUUUUGCAGGUGUGCAGUCACUGAGACUAUGGCUCUAGCAGUCUUCUGCUGAAGUCCUAAAACAUCUGAUGCUGUAUUUGCACAAAAACAGGGCUGUGUUUGAGCAAGGUACUCAGUAAAAGUGUAGUAUUUAAACCUAAGACAGCAAGUUUGAUCAUGGGAUAUUAUCUAGAAGAAAUGUUAUAGUAGAAGAUUUUAUGGUUCUCUGACACAGCACCAGACUCAGCAGGUGUAGAACAAUCUAUUCAGUCCCUGUGUGCAAGCCAUGAUUUGUCUUUGUCAAAAAGGUUUGAAAAAUGGUAAA